CAGCCUGCCCAGUGACAAAGUUCAACGGCCGCGGUACCCUAACCGUGCGAAGGUAGCAUAAUCACUUGUUCUUUAAAUGAGGACUUGUAUCAACGGCACUACGAGGGCUAUACUGUCUCCUUUUUCUAAUCAGUGAAACUGAUCUCCCCGUGAAGAAGCGGGGAUCAAAAUAUAAGACGAGAAGACCCCAUGGAGCUUUAAACUUACCACACACCUCUGUGAUACCACACCAUUUAACACAAGAGACCUGCGUGCUAGUUUUAGGUUGGGGGGACCACGGAGUAUAAUUAAACCUCCACAACAAAUGGGCUAAUACCCUUAUCCACGAGACACAACUCUAAGAAUUACUAAACUAAUGCUUAUGACCCGAUAUUCGAUCAAUGAACCAAGUUACCCUGGGGAUAACAGCGCAAUCUACUUCAAGAGCCCCUAUCGACAAGUAGGUUUACGACCUCGAUGUUGGAUCAGGGUAUCCCGGUGGUGCAGCCGCUACCGAUGGUUCGUUUGUUCAACGAUUAAAACCCUACGUGAUCUGA
rnacentral:rRNA from 1 species